GCUGGUGUGGCUCAGUGGAUAGAGCGUCAGCCUGCGGACUGAAGGGUCCUGGGUUCGAUUCCAGCCAAGGGCA
rnacentral:tRNA from 1 species